CCACACCGAUCCAAGAUCGACACAAUAUGUGAACUGUCGAACCGUAUCGACUUAGAAGUAGUUCUUUCGGGAGCGAAACUGAGUUGGUAUUUGGUUCACCCUAACCAACCUUUAAACAACAUGAAUUAUCACUGGAACUAAAUGUUUUGUCGAGUUUGUCUUGACUUAACGACUAGAUUAAAAUUAUAAA
rnacentral:misc_RNA from 1 species